rnacentral:piRNA from 1 species
GCUAAGGAUUGUUAACAGAAAAAUCCC